AAAGAUUAAGCCAUGCACGUCCAAGUAUAAUCAAGUAUACAAGAGAAACUGCGAAUGGCUCAUUAAAUCAGUUAUCGUUUAUUUGAUAAUUCUUACUACAUGGAUAACCGUGGUAAUUCUGUGGCUAAUACAUGACACAAGCCCCGACUUUUGAAGGGGCGUAUUUAUUAGAUAAAAAACCAAUACCUUCGGGUUCGUUGAUGAUUCAUAAUAACUUGUCGAAGCUCAUGGCCUUGAGCCGGAGCUGGUUCAUUCAAAUUUCUGCCCUAUCAACUUUCGACGGUAGGAUAGAGGCCUACCGUGGUAGCGACGGGUAACGGGGAAUUAGGGUUCGAUUCCGGAGAGGGAGCCUGAGAGACGGCUACCACAUCCAAGGAAGGCAGCAGGCGCGCAAAUUACCCAAUGCUGACGCAGUGAGGUAGUGACGACAUAUAACGAUGCAGGGCCCUACGGGUCUUGCGAUUGGAAUGAGUACAAUGCAAAUACCUUAACGAGGAACAAUUGGAGGGCAAGUCUGGUGCCAGCAGCCGCGGUAAUUCCAGCUCCAAUAGCGUAUAUUAAAGUUGUUGCAGUUAAAAAGCUCGUAGUUGGAUUCUGGGGGGGGCAAGGCGGUGCCUUCAUUGGUAGUGCCGGGCUCCCCCUUUGCUGUGCUCGCACAGCGUUACUUUGAGAAAAUUAGAGUGUUCAAAGCAAGCCUUUGCUCGAAUAUAUUAGCAUGGAAUAACAAAACAGGACGUGAUGGUGCUAUUUUGUUGGUUUCUAGAACCAUCGUAAUGAUCAAGAGGGACGGUCGGGGGCAUCAGUAUUCAGCAGUCAGAGGUGAAAUUCUUGGAUUUGCUGAAGACUAACAACUGCGAAAGCAUUUGCCAAGGACGUUUUCAUUAAUCAAGAACGAAAGUUAGGGGAUCGAAGAUGAUCAGAUACCGUCGUAGUCUUAACCAUAAACUAUGCCGACUAGGGAUUGGCCGAAGCUCUGCACUCUGCAGCGUGGCCAGCACCUUGUGAGAAAUCAGAAGUUUUUGGGUUCUGGGGGGAGUAUGGUCGCAAGGCUGAAACUUAAAGGAAUUGACGGAAGGGCACCACCAGGAGUGGAGCCUGCGGCUUAAUUUGACUCAACACGGGGAAACUCACCAGGUCCAGACACAAUGAGGAUUGACAGAUUGAGAGCUCUUUCUUGAUUUUGUGGGUGGUGGUGCAUGGCCGUUCUUAGUUGGUGGAGUGAUUUGUCUGCUUAAUUGCGAUAACGAACGAGACCUUGGCGGGUUGCUAGACGCCGUAGCAUUUUGCUGCGCGCGCUCUUCCUACCCGGACUAUCGGUAAAAAGCCGAUGGAAGUUCGAGGCAAUAACAGGUCUGUGAUGCCCUUAGACGUUCUGGGCCGCACGCGCGCUACACUGACGGGGUCAGCGAGUCUUCCUGCGCCGAGAGGCCUGGGUAAUCUUUAAACCCCGUCGUGCUGGGGAUAGAGCAUUGUAAUUCUUGCUCUUGAACGAGGAAUUCCUAGUAAGCGCGAGUCAUCAGCUCGCGUUGAUUACGUCCCUGCCCUUUGUACACACCGCCCGUCGCUAGUACCGAUUGAAUGGCUUAGUGAGGCCUUGAGAUCGCUUGCCCGAAGGGCAACCUUUGGCGCAACCGAAAACUUGGACAAACUUGGUCAUUUAGAGGAACUAAAAGUCGUAACAAGGUU
rnacentral:rRNA from 1 species